GAUGAACGCUGGCGGCGUGCCUAAUACAUGCAAGUCGAGCGAACAGACGAUGAUCUUGCUCCUCUGACGUUAGCGGCGGACGGGUGAGUAACACGUGGAUAACCUACCUAUAAUACUGGGAUAACUUCGAGACACCGGAUCUAAUACCGUAUAAUCUAUUGAACCGCAUGGUUCAUUAGUGAAAUACGGCUUUGCUGUCACUUAUAGAUGGAUCCCCGCCGCAUUAGCUAGUUGGUAAGGUAACGGCUUACGAAGGGGACCAGGCGUGGACGACCUGAGAGGGUGAUCGGCCACACUGGAACGGAGACGCGGUCCAGAGUCCUACGGGAGGCAGCAGUAGGGAAUCUUCCGCAGAGGGCGAAAGCCUGACGGAGCAACGCCGCGUGAGUGAUGAAGGUCUUCGGAUCGUAAAAUUCUGUUAUUAGGGAAGAACAAAUGUGUAAGUAAAUAUGCACGUCUUGACGGUACCUAAUCAGAAAGCCACGGCUAACUACGUG
rnacentral:rRNA from 1 species